AAGUCGUAACAAGGUUUCCGUAGGUGAACCUGCGGAAGGAUCAUUACUGAGAAAAGAGGCCUCCGGGCUUCCCUCAUUAAUACCCCGCCUUCCAACAAAGUCCCUCUGGGGACGCACUUCAUGUUGGAGGGUCUGAAAAUGACCCUCCGCCCCCUAUAAAACUCUGAAUGUUUGUGCAGUCUGAGUAAUAUAUUCUAAUAUAUGAAAACUUUCAACAACGGAUCUCUUGGUUCCCGCAUCGAUGAAGAACGCAGCGAAAUGCGAUAAGUAAUGUGAAUUGCAGAAUUCAGUGAAUCAUCGAAUCUUUGAACGCACAUUGCACCCUUUGGCAUUCCGAGGGGUAUGCCUGUUCGAGCGUCAUUUAUACCUCAAGCCCUAGGCUUGGUGAUGGGCUUUGCCAGUUAGGCAUGCCUGAAAAUCAGAGGCAGUGAAGCCUGAGUGCGGAAGCGUAGUGAUAAUUUUAUAACCGCUUAGGCCUCGGGUGAAGCUUGCAGAACACCAAAACUCUUGUUUUUGACCUCGGAUCAGGUAGGGAUACCCGCUGAACUUAAGCAUAUCAAUAAGCGGAGGAAAAGAAACCAACUGGGAUUGCCUCAGUAACGGCGAGUGAAGCGGCAUCAGCUCAGAUUUGAAAUCUGGUUCUUUCAGAGCCCGAGUUGUAAUCUGUAGAGGAGUCUUCGGGUUUGGAUCUGGCCUAAGUUUCUUGGAACAGAACGUCAUAGAGGGUGAGAGUCCCGUAUGAGGCCAGCUACCUAUUCCCAUGUGAAGCUUCUUCGACGAGUCGAGUUGUUUGGGAAUGCAGCUCAAAAUGGGUGGUAAAUUUCAUCUAAAGCUAAAUAUUGGCGGGAGACCGAUAGCGCACAAGUAGAGUGAUCGAGAGAUGAAAAGCACUUUGAAAAGAGAGUUAAAAAGUACGUGAAAUUGUUGAAAGGGAAACGCUUGCGAUUAGACUUGCGCUCAGGUGAUCAACCGGUGUUCUCACCGGUGCACUCUCCUGUUUGCAGGCCAGCAUCGGUUUGGGCGGUUGGAUAAAGGCCCCAGGAAUGUAGCUGCUCUCGGGCAGUGUUAUGGCCUAGGGUGCAAUGCAGCCAGCCUGGACCGAGGACCGCGCUUCGGCUAGGAUGCUGGCAUAAUGGUCGUAAGCGACC
rnacentral:rRNA from 1 species